GGGAUAAUAAGCUCACGUUCAAUGAUGAGCGGAUCGCAGCGUUCGCUAAAGUCUUUCGAAUAAUUUUCAAUAGAUAUGGCAUCAACUAGUAAACUUCAAAAUUUGUAAACAAACACACAUAACUUUUUUCGGAACAUUUCGUUUUUAUCACAUCUUUCUUGACGAAGUAAAAUAAAGUGUAGAGCUGAUGACGAGGUCGCAACAAAAUUUUCAAGAAUAUUGAUUUUCUCUCAACAUCGGUUGCAAUCAAAACACGCAAAUUAUCUUUACAUUGACUUGGACGAGUUUUGUUAUGUAGUAGAAGAUAAAUAUACAAAUACUUUUGGAAAUUAAAUUUAAAAAAAUUAGUAACAAUUAAAUCGUAUACACAGUUUUAAAGGCGUGUUAAUAACAAUUUGUGAAGUACCUAGAUUUUGAAAAGGCGAAGGCCUAGAGUUUGAAAUGUCAUCUCGCGCACUUAAGAAAUUGCAAAGUGGUAUAGAAAAGGAUUUAAUAAUCGAUGGCAAAGUUAGCAACGUUGAUGAUCAACUUAGUGAGGACGAUGAUGAGCUGGAAACAACACGGGGAAAGCACUUGAAUCCCUUUGACCUGUUGAAUCAACAAAGUUUCUCGGAGAGCGAAGUCAAAGAGGAUGACAACGAAACGGAGCAUGCUUCAACGGCGGCAAAUCUACCAAGUGGGGCAGGUGGUGGUGGUGCAGCCAAACAAAAGAAGAAGAAGAAGCGCAAGAAGAAGACAAAGUACACCGGCAACCACAUAAGCAGUGAGGAUAAUGAGCUCACAGAUAAAUACCUAAGCGAUAUAGAUUCCUUUAUCGGCAAAGUAAAUGAUGCCACAAACCAAAACGAAAAUUUGGAACCUCCUAAAAUAGAGGUCGAUCAUUCAUUGCUGAGAGUAGAAGUAAGACACUUAAAUCCACAAAAUGAGAUGCGUCGAACAUUUGGUAAACGAGUUGUUAAAAUUGAGAACAAACGUGGCCGUCAAAAAUCGACAUUGAAGUGUACAUACAUGGUAACUGCCAAAGAUUCAUGGCCUCGUAUCCCGAAAAACGUUAUUUCGAUGAAAGCUGUACAGCCACCGGAUCAGUUGGCAGGCCCUAGCCGUGCUCACAUUAAUCCUUUAGAGAAAAUUCAAUGGUUUGCUUUCGAACACAGCGCAUACUAUCAGGGAAUACAAAAUUUAUUUUUGCAAGCGGUUGAACGCACUGAUUCAGAAUUCUUUAUUAGUUUGAUAAGGCGUUGCCCAUAUCACGUGGAUUCUUUAAUACAGCUAAGUGAAUUAUGUAAAAUGACAGAGAACUAUAGCUUAGCAGCUGAACUUAUUGAGCGAGCCGUACUUGUGCUAGAGUACUCACUACAUCCUUGUUUCAGUUUGACAUCGGGCAAUUGUCGCCUUGAUUACCGUCGUCAAGAAAAUCGAGCAUUCUUUAUUACGCUGUUUAAAUAUUCGCAAUAUUUGGAAGCUCGUGCUUGUUGUCGCACCGCUUUUGAAAUUUCCAAGUUAAUAUUGAAUAUGAAUCCGAAAGUUGACCCGCUUGCUAUUGUACUGAUUAUUGACUACUAUGCUUUGCGUAGCAAGCAAUAUGCAUGGCUUAUAAAAUUCUAUGAGGAAUAUGAUGUCGCGCGCAACUUAUCUCAGUUACCAAAUAUGGCAUACUCAUAUGCUUUGGCAUUAUUUUGCCAAUCAGGAGAUUGUGAAAAAUCAAAUAAAGCUUUGCAGUAUGCACUAUUAAUGUUUCCUGGAGUGCUGCGUAUGCUUCUGGAUGAAUUAUCUGUACAGACAGAUAUGCGUGUAAUAACAUCAUCUUACUUUAACUCUUCGAUAUCUAGCAGCCAAUCACCUUCACUGCAUCAGCUUGUGUCAUUAUACGUCUGUCGAGCCAAAGUGGUGUGGCGUGUGGAUAAUAUGUUGCCUUGGUUGGAGCAUAAUGUUAAUGCAGUUUUGGAUCUUGUUGAUAAAAAGGAUGAAAUAAUUAACGAUUACAACAAGAAGCGUGCUGUGCGUUAUGUCUCGCCGCCACGCCCCAUUUUACGUCAUGUGAUACUAUCGGAUUAUAAGGAAAAAGUACCAUUAGCUCCAUUCCUCAGCGCGGAGAAGGAUCCGAUAAUGAUGUAUGACCCUUUGCCGCCACUGGACUCGAUGAACUGCUAUGAGCGAAAAUCAUCGUCUAGCAGCCCAACAACUGGUCCAAAUCGAUCGGUUCUCAUGUUUUUUGAAUCGCUGAUGCCGACCUUCAAUUUAAAUAAUCGUGGUGGUGAGCAACAGCAACAAAAUGUCGCAGUAGAAGCUGUGGCCGAACGUGCUCAUGCUUUGCCCGCACCACAAGUCAAUUUAGGUCAUGAUGAUGAUGAAGUAGCGCAGGUGGAUCGCCAUCUUCAAGCAUUGAAUGCGAAUUUGGAAAAUGCCGCAGGUGAAGAUCCUGUCGCCAAUCCUGAAGGUGGCGCUUCGUAUCGAGAACUCACACAAUCGCUGACAAAUAUCGUAGAUGCUAUGCGUGAUUUUUUGCAAAAUUUCCGUAUUGUCGAGCCCAUGCAGACGGCUGAUGGUGAAGAAAAUGGCAGUUCCGAAGAAGACACUAGUGAUUACUUUGAUUGAAUUGAUGUGUCGCGCCUUUACUUCUUUUCCCUUUAAUUUUCUACUUUUCUGUUAAAAUUCUUACUACAAUUCCCCUUCAAUUCAAUUCAAUUUAAUUCUAAUCAAAAACUUUACUUCAAUUCACUUCUAUCAAAGUUUAUAAAAAUCAAGCAGAGAACAACCUCUUAAACGCAGAACAAAUACCCGUCGAAUGGAAAAGCCUUUUGGAACUUACUUUUUAUAAAGUAUAUAAACUAGAAAAAGAAUUUAAAUUUGAUAAAAAGAAAAAUUAUGAACAAAAAUUGUUUAUAACUAAACAAAUUUAAUACUUUAAUAGGAAAGGAAGAGAAGUAACAUUUAAUGUAAUCGCACUUUUACUUGAUAGUACACAUGCGUGCGCUAAAGUACACAAAGAAAUAUGCAUAAAUCAAUGGCUUUUAGAAAUAUAUGUAAAAGAAAAAUAAAUGAAUUACUGUUAACAAAUAUAAAUACAUUUUAAUUAUAAACUCGCAAACAAAUUAAUGUGUGUUCUCUAAUCUUAACGUCAGCACCACCAAUUUAUUGACUUUAUUACAACACUUUUAAUAACUAUUCAUAUACAUACAACAUACAAACAUACAUAAUUAUUCUAUUUAUGUGAAGAAUUUAAAAUUGCAAUUUAAUUCAAUUGCUGUCACUUUGACAUAUUAUAAACAGCUAAAUAACAUGAAAUAAGUGUACUGUUAUUGCAAAAUUGCAUUCGAAAGAAAAUUGUGUGAAGCGGCGCUCAAAGAAAUAGCGAGUGACGUUUAUAAUUGACGAAAUCUCUUUUCGUCCUGUUUUCUAACUAAAAUUUGUUAAGAAAUCGACUCUGUAUUUCGGUUCUGGUUUGUCAAGCCCUAAAAGCUUAGCAGCUUUUCUUGAACGAUUCAGAGGAUGCUGCAUGCCUGUUUUGGCCUACAAGGACACUGAAGGCCUGAAGAAAUCAGUAUUUUCAAAAAAUCCAUGCUGGGACAUAAUUGUUGGCAUUCAAGUUAUUAUGUUUAUUAUAUUAUCAACGACAUCUUGUUUAGGAAUUCUCAAAACAAAUCGUUUUAAAUUUAUUGCACUAACUUUUCCUUUGACUUCAGUUUACAGUAAGCAACGGAAUAUAGCAUAACUAUACAAACCGUUGUAUUAUGGAAUUAAAUAAAUCAAAAUUGAAUAAAUGAAA